rnacentral:lncRNA from 1 species
CUCUUCCUUCUUCAUCUCCUCAUCCUUCUCCUCCUCCUUAUUUUACUUCUUCUUCUCUAUCUCUUCUUCUACGUAGCUUAGACUCAUCCAAGGAAGGCUAAAUUGGCUAAUUAUCCUCGAAAUGACAUAAUUAGCUCCAAAAAGGCAUUCUUAGCUAAUUUAGCCCGAAGAAGGCAACAAGAAGAGAAAAAGAGGAAAAUGAAGGGAAGGAAGAGGAAAAAGGAGAAGAAAGAGGA